UACGUAGGGAGCAAGCGUUGUUCGGAUUUACUGGGCGUAAAGGGCGCGUAGGCGGCUACUCAAGUCAUCUGUGAAAUCUCCGGGCUUAACUCGGAACGGUCAGAUGAUACUGUUUUGCUAGAGUGCAGAAGGGGCAAUCGGAAUUCUUGGUGUAGCGGUGAAAUGCGUAGAUAUCAAGAGGAACACCUGAGGUGAAGACGGGUUGCUGGGCUGACACUGACGCUGAGGCGCGAAAGCCAGGGGAGCAAACGGG
rnacentral:rRNA from 1 species